rnacentral:ncRNA from 2 species
CUGAAUAUUUUAGUAUCAGGUUUCAUUAUCGAAAUAAUAGGGAAAACGGUGCAAUUCCGUUACAGCCCCCGCUACUGUAAGCAUGGACGAGUCCCAUGAUCCACUGGAGAAAUUCCGGGAAGGAGGGAUAGGAUGAUAUGCGAGUCAGGAGACCUGCCUGGUAUGGCUUAGUUUA